GCCAGACGCAGAGGAAGCAAGAUGAGAAUGCCUCACUGAGAAAAGAUUUUCUGCACAUCCGGAUUUUUCUACACAUCUGGAUUGUCUGCACAUCUGGAUUGUCUGCACGUCUGUCUGGAUUAUCUGCACAUCUAGAAUGUCUGCACAUCUGAAUUGUCUGCAUAUCUAGAUUUUCUGCACGUCUGGACUGUCUGCACAUCUGGAUUGUCUGCACAUCUGGACUGUGCACAUCUGGACUGUCUGCACAUCUGGAUUGUCUGCACAGCCAGGACUUCUCCAACUACUCCGCUCCAGCAGUGCUGCCCAGAGUUAGCCCACAAGAGGUGGCCAAUGCUACUCUGAGAGGCCAGGCAAUGCAUCUGAAGACAACGUCAAGACCUCUCCUUAAGGAUGUCUUUCUACUCUACGCAUGCAUUUCCUCGUGUAUGCAACAUCAGUGGACCACGUACUAGGAUGCUAUUCACAUAGACGAUUGGAUGCCUGACUCAGUGAUGAAGAAAUGGCUGCAGGGAGCUCAUUCAACACAUCAGUGACAUGAGCCAAGGCUCCCUUCACCUUCCUGCUCUGCCACACACAGCAGUUGACUUCAUCUUUGACUCGGCCGCCUUUUCUUGAGAGUAAAUGAUGGCCUUUUGGUCCUGGAGUUCCAUGCAAAUUGGCAAGUGCCUUACAAAAUGGAAAGGAGGGAUGUUUUUCCUUCUUUUUAUCUUAUGAGUGAAAAAUUUUUUUUUUUGGUGAUUUCCCAUAGUUCACUAGAAAUAAGUCUCAUGCAAACGGCCCUUGAGUGUUGAGAGCUCUGUGGCGAGGAAGGUAGGGAACAGAGGUGCUGGGGUUGGUCUGAGAGAAGGCGUGCACAUCUUCAGGAAUGUAUAGCGUGAGAGCCAUCCUUCCAAUGACAGCAGGAUAAACCCCAACAGUCACAGAACGAAAUGAGAAAGUUGACUACUGUCAAAUGGUCGGCACUUCUGUUUCCAAGAGCAACCUGUACACUCUGUAGACUAUACCACACUGAGUCUCCACACACUACAAUCUACACAACACUGAGUCUCUACACACUACAGUCUACACCACACUGAGUCUCUGCAUUCUACAGAGUCUACACCACACUGAGUCUCUACACUCUGCAGGGGCUCUGCUCUCCAAGUGUGUUUAAUUACAUGUGAAACAAUGUUUUGAAUCAAACAUUUUGCUGAAACACCUGAGAUCCAGCGGGCUAAUUUAUGGCAGAAUCCAUCCUAAAAUAUUCCUCAGGGGACAUUCAGUGAAGAUCUAGAGGAAGGUCCAUCCUAAGGUGUAAAAUUGUACUUUGCUGUUUCCUGAGUUGUCCCACACAGCUUCUUGAAUAACCUUCUUGAAUAACACCGGUUUGAGCCACAACAUUUACCACACAAUUAAUUUCCUCAGACAUCCCGGGUCUUGUUUGGGGUUCUGUGCUCAGUUCUAUGGACACAAGGAGCUCCCGUCACUUAAUACCGCCAGCUUGUCAUCUGAGAAACCUGGUUCCUGCUGCAUAAGAUCCUCAGAGCUCAACGGUUGCCUAAAGUCUGGCAUGGUAGUGCAGGCCUGGGCUCCCAGCUACUCCGGAGGCUGAGGCAGGAGGAUUGCAUGCCUGAGAUCAGCUACCUCAAAAAUAAGUAACUAAAUAUAAGACAAAGUGAGUCAAUACUUAGUUACCAGGUGACCGAGCUGGGCCGUUACUUCAUGGGUCUGAGGGCAGAUGCUGACGGGCAGUUUUGACUGGAUUAGGUGCCCGGAGGACCUGAUUCUGUGGCAAUAUUGCCCAGUUCUCCCUUUUCUUGUGUAGACAUGUGAGAGUUACUCAAGUAUCUGGAAAGCUGAACUUACAGUGAGGAAUAAGCAGCCAUAUCACAUUCUUUAAUAGAAAAAUUAACUAUUCACAUCCUGUCCACAGAAAGGGUGCAGCUCUAAGCCACAAUUUGGCCCCCCGUGUGUGCCGUAGGCUGUAAGCAUCUUGCCUGUAGAAUUCCUGGCUCCUGGCCAUAACCAAUACAGGCAUAAAUGCCAUUUAAUUCCUCCCAGCUGUUCCUGGGGCCAUCCGUGGGUGGGUCUGCCAAGGGGUGUUUCAUUCAAUUUACAAGGAGAAAAUGCACCCCUUGUUGCUUGGCAAAGAGCCAGACUUGCUAGAACUUUCCAAACACUUCACCGUGGGGAGAAAGCCACUGGGAAUGCUCUGGUCAUGGACCAGAGCCAGCUGAAGGUAUUCUUCUCGGAGCUCGGCCAGUUGGUUACAAAAUUCCAAUUUUAUGUUGUACUGGAAGAGUGAGCGUUCUGUGUAAGAAUCUCCAACCUAGGGCGUGAAAAAGACAUUCUCACACAUUUAAAUAAACGGUGUGCUGGAAGUGACGAGACAGAAAUUAUAUUUACAUGGUAAUUAAGGUGCCCUUGAUCUGUGUCAAUCAGUGUAGUAAGGAAAAUAUAAUGUCUGUGAUCAAAAGCGACAACAAAGGCCUUGACUGUAAGCCGCCAGAUUGGUAAGCGCUGCACACGUGUGUCAGGUGCUGAAAGAGUUGCCUUUUCUGUAGAAAGUAAUUAGCUUCCAUUUCAUAUCAUGUAAUCCCUGUAUUUAGUUCAAAAUUACUCUCUUCCUCUGAACACAAGGACCUGGCCAAGACUCCUUUUGUUGUGUUUAUCAUCCUACUUCCCAGAUCUGUGCUAGUAGGUUCAGGAUCAUACCGAGAACCACAGUGCAGCUGGAUGGAGAGGGCCAUUGGGCCUGAGAUAUGGCUACAGGACCCUGGGACAGACCACACUGAGGGCCCGGGACACACCCACUCCGAGGGCCCUGGAACACACCACACUGAGGGUCCUGGGACAGAUCCACACUGAGUGCCCAUGCUUUCUUAACUUUAAUAGGCAGA